CCAGGACCCCGGGAUCACACCCUGUGCUGAAGGCAGAUGUGCAAUCACUGAGCUACCCAGCCAAACCAUGGCCCCAGUGUAGGCAUGUUACCAUCAUGUUAAACAGUCACCAUAUCAAGGUCAUGUGGACAUGUUCCAAGAGUCCAUCAAGUGAUGCAAGGAUAAAGACAAUGUGGUAUAUACAUACAAUGGAGUGUUAUUUAGCCUAAAAAAGGAAAGAAAUUCUGAUACAUGCUACAAUACGGAUGAACCUGAGGACAUGCUAAGUGAAAUGUCAGAAAGUAGAAUGGCAGUUACCAGAGAUUGAGGGAGGAAGGGAGAAUUAUUAUUUAAUGGGUAUAGAGUUUCCGUCUCCCAAGAUAAAAAGAGUUCUGGAGAUGGAUAGUGAUGAUGGUUGCACAACAAUAUGAAUGUGCUUAAUGCCACUGAACUGUACACCUAAAUAUGGUUAAGAAGGUAAAUUUUCUGUUAUGUGUAUUUUAACAUAGUUAAAAAUAAUAAUUAAAAAAUAGUUCUGGGGA